rnacentral:misc_RNA from 1 species
AACGCACCUUGCGCUCCUUGGCAUUCCGAGGAGCAUGCCUGUUUGAGUGUCAUGUUAAUCUCAAUCUCUUGGGUUUGUUAUGAACUCUUGAGAUUGGACUUGGAGGUUACUGCUGGCCUUACCGUCGGCUUCUCUUGAUUGUAUUAGCUGGGCCUUUUGCCCUGCUCGCGUGGUGCGAUAGUUUAUCCUCCUUGAGUGUGGCUUGUAUGGGUCUGCUUCUAAUCGUCUUAAAACGACAAUACCUUGACUCUCUGACCUCAAAUCAGGUAGGACUACCCGCUGAACUUAA